rnacentral:rRNA from 1 species
UACAGAGGCCUCAAGCGUUGUUCGGAUUCAUUGGGCGUAAAGGGUGCGUAGGUGGCGCUGUAAGUCGGGUGUGAAAUUUCGGAGCUUAACUCCGAAACUGCAUUCGAUACUGCGGUGCUUGAGGACUGGAGAGGAGACUGGAAUUCAUGGUGUAGCAGUGAAAUGCGUAGAGAUCAUGAGGAAGACCAGUGGCGAAGGCGGGUCUCUGGACAGUUCCUGACACUGAGGCACGAAGGCCAGGGGAGCAAACGGG